rnacentral:rRNA from 1 species
UACGGAGGGUGCGAGCGUUGUCCGGAAUCACUGGGCGUAAAGGGCGCGUAGGCGGCCUGAUAAGUAGGGGGGUGAAAUCUUGCGGCUUAACCGCAAGGCUGCCUUCUAAACUGUCAGGCUGGAGCACGGUAGAGGCAGAUGGAAUUCCUGGUGUAGCGGUGAAAUGCGCAGAUAUCAGGAGGAACACCGAUGGCGAAGGCAGGUCUCUGGGCAUUAACUGACGCUGAGGAGCGAAAGCAUGGGGAGCGAACAGG